rnacentral:rRNA from 1 species
UACGUAGGGUGCGAGCGUUAAUCGGAAUUACUGGGCGUAAAGGGUGCGCAGGCGGUUUUGUAAGCCAGAUGUGAAAGCCCCGGGCUUAACCUGGGAAUGGCAUUUGGGACUGCAAGGCUAGAGUGUGGCAGAGGAGACUGGAAUUCCUGGUGUAGCAGUGAAAUGCGUAGAUAUCAGGAGGAAUACCGAAGGCGAAGGCAGCUUCCUGGCCCAAAUCUGACGCUGAGGUGCGAAAGCGUGGGGUAGCGAAACGGGG